UACGUAGGGUGCAAGCGUUACUCGGAAUUACUGGGCGUAAAGCGUGCGCAGGCGGCUCUUUAAGCCCGGUGUGAAAUCCCCGGGCUCAACCUGGGAACUGCAUUUGUGACUGUAGAGCUGGAGUACGGUAGAGGGGGAUGGAAUUCCGCGUGUAGCAGUGAAAUGCGUAGAUAUGCGGAGGAACACCGAUGGCGAAGGCAGUCCCCUGGGCCUGCACUGACGCUCAUGCACGAAAGCGUGGGGAGCAAACAGG
rnacentral:rRNA from 1 species